AGAAAACCUAUGAACAUAAUUCAACAUAUAAGUAUUCCAUGGAAAAAAAAGAAAUCCAUAAACAUGGAACUGACCUUUAAAAAAAUUCCCAACUGUUCUUGAGGAAAAAACAGAUAGUAAAUAGGAAUAGCUGUAUACUUCCUCAACAUGAUACAACAUAUUAUGUCAACCCCAAAGCCAGCAUCAUAGUCACUGGGGAAACACUAGAUACAUUCCCACUAGAGACAGGACAAAGACAAAGAUGUCUCCUCACUGUUAUUAUUUACAUUGGUCUAGAGCUUCUAGUCAGAGCAAUUAUACAAGAGAAAGCAACAGAGGUAUUAAAAAGUAGAAACCGGUAAAACUAUUCCCCUCUGUAGAUGAUACGACUGUAUACAAAGAAAGAGUAAUGCGAAUGAUAAUAGAAUAAGCUUAAAAGAGCACCAAAAAUUAUAAGGAAAUCAACAGCAUCCAAAUUUACAAACAACAAAACCUCAUUCACGAUAGCCAUAAAUAAUAAACCAAGCAGCCAACCAACCAACCUUGGAAUGAAUAUUCUUACAACAACAAUAAACAAUAUGCAAGAUCCAUAUAAAGGAAAUUUUAAACCACAUCUGGGGACAUGAAAAAGUACCUGAACAAAUGGAAAGACCAUAUUACUGGAUAGGAAGACAACUUCUUAAAGUUGAUUCUAACUCAAAAGUAUAUAAAUUUAAUGCAACCCAAUAAAAAAUACCAACAGCUUUUGUAAAAAUUGGAACUAGUAAAGUUGAUCCUAAAGUUCUACAAUAGAAAAAAAUCAAGUAGGCAGAAAAACUGGAAAAGAAGAGCAAUGAGAACCUAAAACAUUCCAAACAAAUAAAGUUUUUAAUGUGAACAUCUAAAACAAAAGCGUUCCUUCAUAAUCCUGGAAGGGAAAAAAGGCCUUUCCAAACGUGACUCAAAGUCUAGAAGCCACAAAAGAAAAAAACUGAAUACAUACAGCUACAUUAAAACACUUUUCACACCAAAAAAAAAAAAAAAAAAAAAGGAAGAAAGGAAAAAGAACAGAAAGAAAGAAGAAGACUUCUGCAUGGCAAAAGAAUCAAAAGCAGUCAAAAUUGAGAAACUAUAUUCCCAUCUCAGAUUACAAAGGGCUAACUUCUUUAGUGAUUGACAGACAGACUUACAAGCCAAUAAAAAAUAAGUAAAGCAAAAACAAAUGGCUCUUAAACAUUUGAAACCAUAUGCAUCCCUGCUUAUAAUUAGAGAAAUGCAAAUUAAAACUACACUGUCAGAGCCUCCCAAGGCUGAAUCUGAUUGACCAGGCUGUGGAGACACAGACACACUCCUCCCUGGAUGAAUGGAAGGUAAACUGGAAGUGCCCCAAGGAGAGCACUCUGGUAACACCUAUAAAAAGUACCAAUGCAUGUGCCCUUUAGUCCAGAGCUUCCACUUACAGUCUACUCUAAGGACAAUAAGUAAACAUGUAUAAAUACAUAGAAAAUGUUGAAACAUUUUUGAAACGACCCAGAUGUCCAAAAGAUGACUAGUUCAUCAUAUUAAGAUACAUCCUUACAUUGUAGUUGAAAAAGAAAAAAAAAGCCAUAUAGAAAUCUCAUCACCACUACUACCAACAAAAACCCAAGAUGCUGAUAAAGGUAUAUAAUAUAUACUACUUUGACUUAACAAGGGAAAAAAGUAGAAUAUCUAUUUUGAUAUUUUAUAUGCAUUAGGAAACUGCUGAAAGGCAUACAGUAAAAAGGA